UACGGAGGGAGCAAGCGUUACUCGGAAUUAUUGGGCGUAAAGGGCGCGUAGGCGAUUGGGCAAGUCUCCUGUGAAAGCCCCCGGCUUAACCGGGGAGGUGCAGAAGAUACUGCUUGAUUUGAGUUCCGGAGAGGAAGGCAGAAUUCCCGGUGUAGCGGUGAAAUGCGUAGAGAGCGGGAGGAAUACCAGUGGCGAAGGCGGCCUUCGGGACGGAUACUGACGCUGAGGCGCGAAAGCUAGGGGAGCAAACGGG
rnacentral:rRNA from 1 species